rnacentral:rRNA from 1 species
UACAGAGGGUGCAAGCGUUGUUCGGAAUUAUUGGGCGUAAAGAGCUCGUAGGCGGUGUGUCGCGUCGGCCGUGAAAACCUGCAGCUUAACUGUGGGCGUGCGGUCGAUACGGGCAUCACUGGAGUUCGGCAGGGGAGACUGGAAUUCCUGGUGUAGCGGUGAAAUGCGCAGAUAUCAGGAGGAACACCGGUGGCGAAGGCGGGUCUCUGGGCCGAUACUGACGCUGAGGAGCGAAAGCGUGGGGAGCGAACAGG